rnacentral:sRNA from 1 species
AUGCCAUUACCUUUCCGAGAAGCUAUGCCAUACCUGAGCAAUAAUAAAGAUAUGGCAUUACAGCGACUGCAACAUUUGCGGAACCGAUUUGCAAAGGAUGCACAGUAUUGCGAGCAUUACAUUUCCUUCAUGAGAGAAUUGAUUUUGAAGGGUUUUGCAGAAAGAGUACCGGAAAAGGAAAUCAACGUUGAUAGUGGACAAGCAUGCAAGCCAAGUAUAUCAGAGGACGACCCUGAGGUUAAGCGUUGCCAGGUGUUUGAGACGAAGGUGGAACCUACUGAAUAUACGUCACUAAUAGACUAUUUAGAACGUUGUUCUGAUUGGAAUCGUGCCAAGAGACUCAUAGCAAACUGUCUUAAGUUCAAGACGUUGUUUAGAAAGAUUCCUUGUCAGAAGGCAACAGAUGCGGUGCCUUCAAAGGAGCAAGGAUUGCCUGUAGCUUUAUUAAAGGAAGCAGAAUUGGCUAUCGUGAGAUUAGUCCAGAAAGAGGCCUUUAGUGAAGAAUUGAAAAUUCUGAACAACACCAAGGGAUGUGAAGAUGUUAACAGAAAGAAAUCUGUUCGAAAAACAUCCUCCCUUUACCGACUCGAUCAAUUUCUGGAUGAUAAUGAUGUUUUACGAGUUGGAGAUACAUAUUCAAGCGAAGAUGGGUUGGUCCGUAGUGUUAGAUUAGCUAUCGGAGACAGCAAUCUGGACAAGAAAGGCAAGAGGAACGGUCAGCUUUCAACACUUGAAAGACCUGUUCACAAUUUCACGGUGAAGUUUGGUACUGUUUGUGACUCUGCGGCGGGAAUACCCGUAUUUUUGUUCUACAUUAAACUUCAUCAGUCAAAACCAAGUCAACCUUGUUUUAUCUACGAGAGGGUCGAUCCAUAA